rnacentral:lncRNA from 1 species
UUUCUGAAUUUAGCUGCCACGGUAGGAACCUUGCCAAAUUUCUGAACCUGUAUAAAUAAUAUAAAAGUAAUUACACCCUUAUAAUAAAUCUUAAAAUAUAUACAAUCACACAUAUACAAGAUCACUUACAUGUUUGUGAGACCAACCGGUAUACUAGUUCGACCCCAAUGGUGUUCGGUUGCAAUUGACUUUCGUGCUUCGCGACAUUUUUGAGAUUUGGACUAAUAAUAAUAACACAUAAGUUACUAUAUUUUGAUGCAAUGCACAAAUCAUAUAAUUAUAUUAAUUAAUAAGAAUUACAAAUUUACCUUCCCAUCACUCCCUGACUCAUUCAUAGCAAUAAAUUGAUCGCACAAUUGACCCCAUAAAUCAU